UACAGAGGUCUCAAGCGUUGUUCGGAUUCAUUGGGCGUAAAGGGUGCGUAGGCGGCGCGGUAAGUCGGGUGUGAAAUCUCGGGGCUUAACUCCGAAACUGCAUUCGAUACUGCCGUGCUUGAGGACUGGAGAGGAGACUGGAAUUUACGGUGUAGCGGUGAAAUGCGUAGAUAUCGAGAGGAACACCGGUGGCGAAGGCGGCCAACUGGACGAAUACUGACGCUGAGACUCGAAAGCGUGGGGAGCAAACAGG
rnacentral:rRNA from 1 species